rnacentral:lncRNA from 1 species
AUGUCUUAUUUAUUAAAAGGAAAACAAUUCAUGACAUCGGUUCGUUGUUUGUAGCGCCUCUUUGUCAACCAAUAUCAUUUUUUCCCUGAUUUCCCUCUAAAUAGUUAUGUUUAUUUGGUGAUGAACAUAAGAAAUAAAUUAUAUGAGUACUAACAUGUAGAUCUAAACCGAAUUUCAUGUUGCAUCCCCAGUAUGCGUUAAAAAUCUAAACCGAAAACGGUGCCCAGUUUCCUUUGUAAAAUUUUUAUUUUGAUACUGAUGAAUGGAAUCACUUUGCCAAUCUCCUGGUAUAUAAAUACAAACAUAUAUAUAAGUUGGAGUUUAGAUUUCGAUUGAAGGCAGAAAAGUAAUUGUUAAUUACAUAUAUUCGAUGAUCAUGUGGUGGGAAAGUUUGUUUUUGCAUAAUAUGUUAUCAUCUCCAAACUAAGCGGCCUAUUUGGAAUGCAAGAUAUCGAUCGUCGGUGAUUCCUUAAUGGUUUUUUGUCUUAUAGAUGAUUUCUAACGGUUUACGCUUUGAUUAUUAUUUCAUCUUUUCGAUUCUUUUACAUUUUCAUUGUGUGGUGUGCAACUUUAUAACAUUCUUUUACGUUAGGAUCAAUUGGUUUUCCUUUUACGAUUUGUUCAUUAUUAUUGUUGUCUUUGAAAUGAUAAAACAAGGAUUCAAGGAAUCCAUUAAAUCAUGGUAUCUUCAUUCAAGAAUCUUGAUGAUUUGUAAAUCUUUCAAAUUGAGUAUUUUGAUUAAGAGAUUUUGAUUGAUUUGUUUCAGUAAACUGAGAAAUUCUUUUUCUAUGUUUUCUAAGUUGCGGUUGCAAACGAUGAUGUGACGGUUUCAUCAGAUGAUUAAGGGCUCUUCUUGAUUCAAGUCAGAAUACAUCAAAUAAUUCUUUGCAUGAUUGACAAACGGGAACCGAAGCGUGCAUCAUCACCUACGUAAGACAACCGCUAGGCGGUUUUUUAUUGGAGUUUCCGAAUCUUCUCUUCUUUUGUGGCAGUCAUAUGAGACUGGGAUCAGUUGCAAACUGUACUUAGUGAGCAAUUCAUUUUUCUCACUUUCAUAUGAAAUGGCGAAUAUAGAAUAGAGACCAAAGAAAACACCGACGCCAAAAUUCGAGGGUGUGGUGACACAUAGGGAAACACGGUCGCCAAAAUUCGUGAAAUUUAAACUACGGAAGAGGAUUUGAAGUUUGAUUUGAUGAUGAGAUUGUCGUUGGCGAAAAUGAUGCGAAUCGAACAAAAGGUGAAGUUCGCUGGAUCGCCGGAUCGCUGAUCAACAGGUGAAGUUCGCUGGAUCGCCGGAUCGCUGCAUCGCCGGAAUCGAAGAAAAAAAGCCGGAUCUCUCGAUUUCUCUCG